GGCUUUAUAUUCAAGAAUGAUUUUAAAUUGCAAGUUUAAAGGUGAAGGUGUAGCUUCUAAGGCCU
rnacentral:tRNA from 1 species